UUACGGCCAUAUCAUGUUAAAACAUUGGUUCCUGUAUGAUCACCGAAGUUAAGCAAUGUUGAGCCUGGUUUGUACUGAAAUGAUUGACCACUUCAGAAUACCAAGUGCUGCAAGC